AAGGAUCGCGGUUUCUCUCUCCUCCUCCCUGAGGAACCGUGCUGCGUGACAGACCUCUCUCCUCCUCCCUGAGGGAUGUCACGGGAAUGCCAGACCGGCUGUGGCCCGCCCCUCUCCUCCUCCCUGGGUCGGAUCGCAGCCGGUCUUUUCG
rnacentral:sRNA from 12 species